rnacentral:rRNA from 1 species
UACGUAGGGACCAAGCGUUGUUCGGAUUUACUGGGCGUAAAGGGCGCGUAGGCGGCGUGGUAAGUCAGCUGUGAAAUCUCCGAGCUUAACUCGGAACGGUCAGCUGAUACUGCUGUGCUAGAGUACAGAAAGGGCAAUCGGAAUUCUUGGUGUAGCGGUGAAAUGCGUAGAUAUCAAGAGGAACACCUGAGGCGAAGGCGGGUUGCUAGGCUGAUACUGACGCUGAGGCGCGAAAGCUAGGGGAGCAAACGGG